rnacentral:rRNA from 1 species
GGCUCAGAAUGAACGCUGGCGGCAUGGAUUAGGCUGCAAGUCGCACGAGAAUCCGCCUUCGGGCGGGAGGACAGUGGCGAACGGGUGAGUAACACGUGAGCAUCUGCCUCCGGGUCGGGGACAGCCCGCGGAAACGCGGAUUAAUACCCGACGGUCCCUUCGGGGCAAAGAGGAAUCGCCCGGAGAUGAGCUCGCGGCCCAUCAGCUUGUUGGCGGGGUAACGGCCCACCAAGGCGACGACGGGUAGGUGGUCUGAGAGGAUGGUCACCCACACUGGGACUGAGACACUGCCCAGACUCCUACGGGAGGCUGCAGUCGAGAAUCAUCCGCAAUGGGCGAAAGCCUGACGGUGCAAUGCCGCGUGGGGGAUGAAGGCCUUCGGGUCGUAAACCCCUGUCAGAAGGGACGAAGCAAGUGACGGUACCUUCAGAGGAAGCCACGGCUAACUACGUGCCAGCAGCCGCGGUAACACGUAGGUGGCGAGCGUUAUUCGGAUUUACUGGGCGUAAAGGGUCCGCAGGGGGUUUGCCAAGUCCGGUGUGAAAGUCCAGGGCUCAACCCUGGAACUGCGCCGGAUACUGGUGAACUGGAGUGCGCGAAGGGCAGGCGGAAUUCCUGGUGUAGCGGUGGAAUGCGUGGAUAUCAGGAAGAACACCGACGGCGAAAGCAGCCUGCUGGCGCGCCACUGACCCUCAUGGACGAAAGCGUGGGUAGCGAACCAGGAUUAGAUACCCUGGUAGUCCACGCCGUAAACGGUGCAGACCCGAUGCGGGGGGCAGCCCCCUCCGUGUCCAAAGCCAACGCGUUAAG